AUCGGAAUUACUGGGCGUAAAGCGUGCGCAGGCGGUUUUGUAAGACAGAUGUGAAAUCCCCGGGCUUAACCUGGGAACUGCAUUUGUGACUGCAAGGCUAGAGUAUGGCAGAGGGGGGUAGAAUUCCACGUGUAGCAGUGAAAUGCGUAGAGAUGUGGAGGAACACCGAUGGCGAAGGCAGCCCCCUGGGCCAAUACUGACGCUCAUGCACGAAAGCGUGGGGAGCAAACAGGAUUAGAUACCCUGGUAGUCCACGCCCUAAACGAUGUCAACUAGUUGUUGGGGAUUCAUUUCCUUAAUAACGUAACUNACGCGUGAAGUUGACCGCCUGGGGAGUACCGUCGCAAGAUUA
rnacentral:rRNA from 1 species